ACUCACCUACAAUUGGCCGAGGUCAGUUGUGAUGUGGCUUCUUACCUCCGGGCCGGUGAACAUGAUAGAAUCGGAUGUUUUUUACCUCGUCACUUUGGAAUUCAACUUACAUUGGACAAAUUCAUGGACCACGGAUUUUGCGUCCUCCUCUGUCCGUUCUGGGAUGCCGGAGAAGACAAGGUUGUCCCGCAUGCCCCGAGCUUGUAUAUCCAGGAUGGUCUCCUUAAUUUUUUAUUUUCUCCAGACAGCUGUGUCAUUCCAUUGAUCUCCUUACCACUCCUCUGGUAACUUCCCCUUGGAUCUGCUGCCCAGACCUCACCACAAGUCAACCAUCACUUACCUACUUGUCCAACCUCCAACUAUCCACCAUUCCACCGCUGCCUCCUCAAUUCCUCCUCAAAUAAGGAAACAGUCAUCAGAAUCCACUCCACACAUACCCAGCUUGCCAACCUCAACCCCUCUGGAUGUAUUCACCUUUUUUCCUGGAUCCUCGCCAGCUCAUUCCACAUGCCUUCCUGAAACCCUAUCCUGAGGCCAGCAGAAACUGUUUCUUUUCUUGUCAUUUCAAUAAACCACUUAAACCGUCA